UAGGGAAUCUUCGGCAAUGGACGAAAGUCUGACCGAGCAACGCCGCGUGAGUGAAGAAGGUUUUCGGAUCGUAAAACUCUGUUGGUAGAGAAGAACGUUGGUGAGAGUGGAAAGCUCAUCAAGUGACGGUAACUACCCAGAAAGGGACGGCUAACUACGUGCCAGCAGCCGCGGUAAUACGUAGGUCCCGAGCGUUGUCCGGAUUUAUUGGGCGUAAAGCGAGCGCAGGUGGUUUAUUAAGUCUGGUGUAAAAGGCAGUGGCUCAACCAUUGUAUGCAUUGGAAACUGGUAGACUUGAGUGCAGGAGAGGAGAGUGGAAUUCCAUGUGUAGCGGUGAAAUGCGUAGAUAUAUGGAGGAACACCGGUGGCGAAAAGCGGCUCUCUGGCCUGUAACUGACACUGAGGCUCGAAAGCGUGGGGAGCAAA
rnacentral:rRNA from 1 species